AGUGGUGACGAUAGCGAGAAGGAUCCACCUGUUCCCAUCCCGAACACAGAAGUUAAGCUUCUCUACGCCGAAAGUAGUGCCCGGGCCACCGGUCGUGAGGAUAGGUAGUUGCCACUU
rnacentral:rRNA from 1 species